rnacentral:rRNA from 1 species
GUAACCUGCCCAUAAGACUGGGAUAACUCCGGGAAACCGGGGCUAAUACCGGAUAACAUUUUGAACCGCAUGGUUCGAAAUUGAAAGGCGGCUUCGGCUGUCACUUAUGGAUGGACCCGCGUCGCAUUAGCUAGUUGGUGAGGUAACGGCUCACCAAGGCAACGAUGCGUAGCCGACCUGAGAGGGUGAUCGGCCACACUGGGACUGAGACACGGCCCAGACUCCUACGGGAGGCAGCAGUAGGGAAUCUUCCGCAAUGGACGAAAGUCUGACGGAGCAACGCCGCGUGAGUGAUGAAGGCUUUCGGGUCGUAAAACUCUGUUGUUAGGGAAGAACAAGUGCUAGUUGAAUAAGCUGGCACCUUGACGGUACCUAACCAGAAAGCCACGGCUAACUACGUGCCAGCAGCCGCGGUAAUACGUAGGUGGCAAGCGUUAUCCGGAAUUAUUGGGCGUAAAGCGCGCGCAGGUGGUUUCUUAAGUCUGAUGUGAAAGCCCACGGCUCAACCGUGGAGGGUCAUUGGAAACUGGGAGACUUGAGUGCAGAAGAGGAAAGUGGAAUUCCAUGUGUAGCGGUGAAAUGCGUAGAGAUAUGGAGGAACACCAGUGGCGAAGGCGACUUUCUGGUCUGUAACUGACACUGAGGCGCGAAAGCGUGGGGAGCAAACAGGAUUAGAUAC